GCGGACGCGGGCGAGGCAGCGCAAGGUGGUUCUCGUCCGUGUGAGUGCGCCCAUGGGUGUCUUUGUGUGUCUGUGUUUCCGUACAUAUGUGUGCGAUCCAAGGGGUGUCUGGGUGGGGUGUAUUCAGGGCAACAAACGUGACGUUUCCCCCCGAAA
rnacentral:lncRNA from 1 species